rnacentral:rRNA from 1 species
CGGAAGGAUCAUUACCAAGAGGAUCGUGAGGCGCCAGAGAGGGGUAGGACACCUAACCCGCUCGAUCGGUUGGACCCGUACCCACAAUAGCAAGCGAGAGCCAGUCUCUCCAGGGGGGCUUUCGGCGGCUCUGCGGCCGUCUGCCCAUAGACGGGUCCUUCCCUUUAGGCGGGGCUUCUCUCGACGUCCUCGCUUUCCACAACCUUCAACCCUUGAUUACCCUAGCCUUUGUUGCCUCGGCGGGUCCGCCCGCCAGAGGACACAACCCAAACCACUGUUGUAAACGGCGAAGUCUGAGCUACAAAGCAAUUGUUUAAAACUUUCAACAACGGAUCUCUUGGUUCUGGCAUCGAUGAAGAACGCAGCGAAAUGCGAUAAGUAGUGUGAAUUGCAGAAUUCAGUGAAUCAUCGAAUCUUUGAACGCACAUUGCGCCCUUUGGCAUCCCGAAGGGCAUGCCUGUUCGAGCGUCAUUUCACCAAUCAAGCCUGGCUUGGUGUUGGGUGCCGUCCCGCCUCUCGCGCGCGGACGCUCCCUAAAAUCAUCGGCGGUGCAGCACCGGCUUCGAGCGCAGCAGAUGUUCGCUCUGUGGGCCCGGUGCGGCAGCGGCCGCGACGACAACCUCUAGGUUGACCUCGGAUCAGGUAGGGAUACCCGCUGAACUUAAGCAUAUCAUAAACCCGGAAGAAAGGAUCAUUACCAAGAGGAACGGGAGGCGCCCGAGAGGGGGAGGACCCCAACCCGCCCGAACGGGGGGACCCGACCCACAAAAGCAAGCGAGAGCCAGCCCCCCCGGGGGGGCUUUCGGCGGCUCUGCGGCCGUCGGCCCUUGGCCGGGUCCUUCCCUUUUGGGCGGGGCUUCUCUCGCCGUCUCCCUUUCCCCCCCUUCCCCCUUGGUUUCCCUGGCCUUUGUUGCCUCGGCGGGUCCCCCGCCAAGGAACAACCCAACCCCUGGUGGAAAAGGGGAAAUUUGAACUAAAAAAAAUUU